AUGUAUGGCCUUCUAAUUUGCCCUCUGCUAAAGACAAUUCUGCUCCGGAGGGGGAGUGGGAGAACAACAAGCAAAGCUGUCCGUCUCUUUUGUACCAUCGGGUCUAAGCAGGGUUGGCUGGUGUACAGCUCAGCUCAGGAUACUGACGGUCGGUGUAUCUGCACAGUGGUGGCUCCUGAACAGAACCUCUGCUCCAGAGACGCCAAGGGAAGACAGCUCCGCCAGCUACUGGAGAAGGUGCAGAACAUGUCCCAGUCCAUUGAGGUGUUGAACCUGCGGACCCAGAGGGACUUCCAGUACGUCAUGAAGAUGGAGAAUCAGAUGAAAGGGCUCCAGACCACGCUCAGACAGAUAGAAGACGACAGGAAGACCAUUAUAACCAGGAACUUCCAGGUACAGAACAUUACAGCACUAGUAUACAUUAAAGUACAGAACAUUACAGCACUAGGAUACAUUAAAAACCUGUCCAUGGUGCUCACAGCUAUUCAGGAGGAGAUGGGGGCAUACGACUAUGACGAGCUCUACCAGAGGGUCCUCAGACUGGACAGCAGGCUGCACAACUGCAUGGGCAAACUCACAUGUGGGAAAUUAAUGAAAAUCACUGGACCUGUAACAAUAAAGACAUCUGGCACCCGGUUUGGAGCAUGGAUGACUGACCCACAGGCCUCUCAGAGAAACAACAGGGUCUGGUACAUGGACAGCUACACCAACAGUAAGAUUGUACGUGAGUACAAGACCAUGGACGACUUUGUAGCUAACGUGGUGUCUCGAACCUACAACCUCCCAUUUAAAUGGGAGGGAACCGGUCACGUGGCGUACAAUGGGUCUCUGUAUUACAACAAGUACCAGAGUAACAUCAUCGUCAAGUACAGUUUUGAGACGGGUCGGGUGCUGGCUCAGCGGGCUCUGGAGUACGCCGGCUUCCACAAUACCUACCCUUACUCCUGGGGAGGAUACUCCGACAUCGAUGUCAUGGCCGACGAACUGGGCAUGUGGGUAGUGUACGCAACCAAUCAGAAUGCGGGAAAUAUCGUCAUCGCCCAGAUGGACCCGGACACCCUGGAAGUCCGGAAGACGUGGAACACGGAAUAUUCCAGACGGAACGCGGGGGAAUCCUUUAUGAUCUGCGGAACACUCUACAUCACCAACUCUCACCUGACGGGUGCUAAGGUCUACUACGCGUACUCCACCAAGACCUCCAGCUAUGAGUACACAGACAUCCCUUUCCACAACCAGUACUUUCACAUCUCCAUGCUGGCCUAUAACUCCAGGGAGAGGCACCUCUAUGGCUGGAACAAUGGACACCAGGUGCUGUUCAAUGUCACUCUGUUCCACGUCAUCAAAACCCAAGACGACUCCUAGAGGACACGGGAGAUGAAAUGUCACAAGUCCUCAUAUGGACACCGUAGAAAUGACAACAGCAACUUUCCAAGGCAAAGCGCCAUCAUUUGUGAUAUAAAAUGGGACCUUGUUGCUUACAACCUUGUUCAUGUUUUUCCUCACCUCCUCCCUAAAGUGAACUGCUCUGUCAUUACGUUGCCAUUACUUGAAGAAAUUGCCCUUUUUUGUAUUUUCUGGGCCAGAACACUUGAGGUGACUUGAACACAGACAGAAUGUCAUAUAUCCUAUUUCUCCUCUCUUCUUCUUUUUUUAUUUUCCCAUCUCUGCUGAAAUAGGAGUUUACUUUAUGGCCUUAUUUACUGCUGUCUUUACGUUCUCUAUGAUCCUCUUCUUUUCCCAUCUCUGCUGAAAUAGGAGUUUACUGUAUGGCCUUAUUUACUNUUACUGCUGUCUUUAGGUUCUCUAUGAUCCUCUUCUUUUCCCAUCUCUGCUGAAAUAGGAGUUUACUGUAUGGCCUUAUUUACUGCUGUCUUUACAUUCUCUAUGAUCCUCUUCUUUUCCCAUCUCUGCUGAAAUAGGAGUUUACUGUAUGGCCUUAUUUACUGCUGUCUUUAGGUUCUCUAUGAUCCACGGACUCUUGAUAGAUAUGUGCAUGAAUGUCUGACAUUUUGUCUGCUGUAAUUUACGAUGAUAUAGUGUAUUUUCAAUGUUUCCGUUCCAGAUGUCCUUCAGUUCUCACAGUGUUUGUAGUGACGUCUAUUGAUAGUAUUUAAACCUAGUUUGAGGUCCUCUCCAGAGUAUUUGCUGCCAUGUUACAUGAACAGUCUGAUUAUGGAAAACAUUGUGGUAACAAUUGUAUGUCUCUAUGCGAAAGCUAAGUAAACAUUUUGUUUGUUAUAAAAUACUGUAUCAAAAGUGUA
ensembl:lncRNA